UACAGAGGUGGCAAGCGUGUUCGGAAUUACUGGGCGUAAAGGGCGCGUAGGCGGUUCGUUAAGUCCUGUGUGAAAUCCCCCGGCUCAACUGGGGAACUGCACAGGAAACUAGCGGGCUUGAGUUCGGGAGAGGGAAGCGGAAUUCCGGGUGUAGCGGUGAAAUGCGUAGAUAUCCGGAGGAACACCGGUGGCGAAGGCGGCUUCCUGGAC
rnacentral:rRNA from 1 species